rnacentral:rRNA from 1 species
UGGGGAAUUUUGGACAAUGGGCGAAAGCCUGAUCCAGCAAUGCCGCGUGUGUGAAGAAGGCCUUCGGGUUGUAAAGCACUUUUGUCCGGAAAGAAAUCCUUGGCUCUAAUACAGUCGGGGGAUGACGGUACCGGAAGAAUAAGCACCGGCUAACUACGUGCCAGCAGCCGCAGUAAUACGUAGGGUGCAAGCGUUAAUCGGAAUUACUGGGCGUAAAGCGUGCGCAGGCGGUUUGCUAAGACCGAUGUGAAAUCCCCGGGCUCAACCUGGGAACUGCAUUGGUGACUGGCAGGCUAGAGUAUGGCAGAGGGGGGUAGAAUUCCACGUGUAGCAAGUGAAAUGCGUAGAGAUGUGGAGGAAUACCGAUGGCGAAGGCAGCCCCCUGGGCCAAUACUGACGCUCAUGCACGAAAGCGUGGGGAGCAAACAGGAUUAGAUACCCUGGUAGUCCACGCCCUAAACGAUGUCAACUAGUUGUUGGGGAUUCAUUUCCUUAGUAACGUAGCUAACGCGUGAAGUUGACCGCCUGGGGAGUACGGUCGCAAGAUUAAAACUUAAAGGAAUUGACGGGGUCAUAGCUGUUUCCU